CCUGAACGCUGGCGGCGUGGCUAAGACAUGCAAGUCGUACGGAUGGAGCAAUCCAUCAGUGGCGGACGGGUGAGUAAUGUAUCGCUAAUGUACCCUUCACUCUGGGAUAGCUGCGGGAAACUGCAGGUAAUACCAGAUGACAUAACCGAAUCGCAUGGUUUGGUUCUCAGAGGAGCAAUACGGUGAGGGGGCAGGCGAUA
rnacentral:rRNA from 1 species